AUACUUACCUGGCGUAGAGAUAACCGUGAUGAACAAGGUGGUUUCUCCGAGGUCAAAUCCAUCUAUUGCACUACGGAUGGGUUGAUCCUUGCAAAUAUUUCUAAUGUGGAUAUCUCGGACAUAUUAUUUUUGGACGUAUUAUUUAACUAUAAAUGGUA